GAUGAACGCUGGCGGCGUGCUUAAUACAUGCAAGUCGAACGGAGACAGUAGCAAUAUUGUCUCAGUGGCGAACGGGUGAGUAACGCGUUGGUGACCUGCCCCGAAGAGGGGGAUAACAGUCCGAAAGGAUUGCUAAUACCCCAUGUGGUCAAGAGGAUUAGAUGCCUUAUGACUAAACGGAGAAAUUCGCUUCGGGAGGGGCCUGCGUCCCAUCAGCUAGUUGGUAGGGUAAUAGCCUACCAAGGCGAUGACGGGUAGGGGACCUGAGAGGGUGGCCCCCCACAAUGGAACUGAAACACGGUCCAUACACCUACGGGUGGCAGCAGUAGGGAAUAUUGGUAAUCUGGGAAACCGGGAACCAGCAACGCCGCGUGCGCGAUGAAGGCCUUCGGGUUGUAAAGCGCUUUUUGAGAGGAUGAGGAAGGACAGUACUCUUAGAAUAAGCCUCGGCUAACUACGUG
rnacentral:rRNA from 1 species